rnacentral:misc_RNA from 1 species
UGCCAACAAAUAUUAAUAUUAGCAAUUAGCUUUAGCAUACCAGUUGGACCCUUUUAAUAAUAUUACAUUUUAAUACAAUUAAGAGUAGUUUAAUGGGUUGGGAAAAGAGAAAAGGAACACACAAAAGGAAGAAAUUGGAUGGGAGCUCAUGGAAAAUUCAUGUCCUAUGAAGAGGUUUGCUAAUCUUUCUCUGUCUCUAUUUUUAAUUUCCCUUUUGAUUUUUUUUCCUUCUUUAUUUAUAUCCUAAAUCUUUCAAUUUUUUUUUUUAAAUUUCCAUUUUCCUCUUUCUCCUCUUUCUGCCUAUUAAACUAUGAAAAUGGCAUAUUACCAAUCAUCCUUUCCCCUCUGUAGGAAACACCCAUCAUUGCUCCCAACAAUCCUUUUCAACCUUAGAAACCUGAGCUUCUAAGCUAUUCCCUUCCUAUCUUUUUUUUUUCCUUUCUCUUAUGCCUCUCUGCUCUCAAUUUAAAUAUCACCAAUCUUUAUAACCUUUUCUCUCCUCCCUCUUCUCUCUUUAUAUUGCCAUCCCUGAGUUUCUCUCUACAAUGGAUCCUUCCUCUACAAAUUCUGUCAAUGGUUUCUAUUCCUUCCUCACUCGAGGGAUCGAUGAUCUUGAACGUGUUUAUCUCUCUAGCAACUUCAUGUCAAUCCAAUUCCUUCAAAGGGUUCUUUCUUUGUUAAGAUCUUUUCAUUCCCAGUUGACCUUGCUGGUCCAAAAACUUCAUUUGCCUGUGGGAGAUAAGUGGCUUGAUGAGUACAUGGAUGAGAGUUCAAAGCUAUGGGAGGCAUGCCAUGUCCUAAAAUCAGGGAUAUCUGGAAUGGAAAACUAUUACUCAGCGGGAUUUAAUAUCACUUCUUCUCUUGACAACCAUCGCCGUCUUAGUACCCAGUUAUCUCGCCAGGUAAUACGGGCAAUUUCUGGGUGUCGAAGAGAAGCAGCGGGAUUGGAGGAGGAAAACAGAGCUUUAAUGGAAACAAGAAUCCAACCGCUAUCUUUGCGGUUCGAUGAGAAGGUGUCAAUCGAAUCUAAACUGAAUGGUUUCAAUGGGUUUCGAGGGGUUCUGUAUGCAAUGAGAAACGUAAGCUCUUUGCUUCUAAUGAUCCUGCUAUAUGGGCUAGUGUAUUGCUGGCCAGAAUCGAGCUUUCUGCGAGGAGGGUAUGAAGGAUGCCUAUUCUUUGGAUCAGCUUUCAUGAUCUCAACAGCCAGAUUGCAGCAGAGGGUAGCAGGAGAUAUAAACCAGAUAAAUGGGAGGCCAGGGAUUUUACUGUAUGAGUUUAGGAGAUCAAAGAUGGCGAUGGAGGAGCUGAGAGGGGAGCUGGAGAGGAGGUGUGGACAAGGGGUGGUGGUGGUGGAUUGGGAAACAGAAGUUGAGAUAAGGGAAAGAGUGGAGAAUUUGAGAGGCUGUUUUGGAGUUUUGAGAUCUGGGGCUGAGAAUAUUGUUGGCCAACUCGAUGAUUUCUUUGAUGAGAUCGUUGAAGGGAGGAAGAAGCUUUUGGACUUUUGCAGUCAUAGGUAGAAACAGGGAGAUAGGAAGGUCGAAAAAAAUAUUACGAGGGGGAGGAAGCAGUUGUUGGAGUGGUUGCACCUCUAACCCAUUCUCUCCUUUUUUUUUUUUUCCGUUUCCAAGGCGGGGGUGGGGGAAACAAAUAAGAAAGGACUUCUGAGUUAGCAUUGGAAAAGGAAGAGUUGAUACAAGCUUUGUCAUUUGAGUUAUCUCAAUGUUCUAGGCUUAAGGAUUUAAAUAAUGAGUUGUCACGCAAGCUCGAGGCUCAGACUCAAAGAUUAGAGCUUUUGACUGCUCAAAGUAUGGCAAAUGAGAAUGUCCCGUCAAGGUUAACUGAUUCUCGUACUACACAGGACAAUACUGCAUAUGCAGACGAGGGUGAUGAGGUAUGAUAUUUGAGACUAGCUAUUUUAUAUUAUCAUGAGCAAUUUCUAGACUUACUAAUGUUCAGUGAAAAGAAACAUGGGCCAAGUCAUAUUAUGUUAAAUCAUUAUUUGAACCCCAAAGGGAGUGCCCUAUAGACUAUUGCGCUUCUAUGUUGUGUGUUAAGACAACCUAUCUUGAUUGUCCCUUGGAAUUUUCUUUUAUACUCCAUAUUACAUUGAUAUCCCAUAAUUAUGGAUUUUUUUUCCCUCUUACUCUGUAAUGUCAAAACAAUUCCAGAGGAUUAAUAAUAGAUGAGGUUUGCAUGACCUGCCUACUCCACCCCAUCCAGGUUGCCCUAUGGCCUGGACAAACAGAUACGAAAACUAGAGGUAUUUUGUGCACCCAUGUGUUGACUGCUGACGGUUAUAUGCAAUUAUUUCUUGAAAUAGGUGGUUGAAAGGGUUUUGGGGUGGAUAAUGAAGCUCUUUCCUGGAGGGCCAUCAAGACGAAGAACCAGCAAACUUCUUUGAUAUGCGAAUCUGAAUUGAUCAUUAAAUGAAGAUGCUUAGUUCUGGUUUUAUUCCUCGCUGCUUCCUUCCCUUUGUUUUGGCAAAGCAACGGAGGUCGUAAUUGCUAGGCAAGUUUCCCAAAAGAGCCUGUCCUCCAUUUGAUCCAUGACCUCCUUACUCCACUUAGUACCAGCCUUCGACUCCUCUUCUCCAUUCUCAGCGGACGUAUACUCCAAGCCCUUAACUCCCAGCCACAUCUUGCACCUGCACCAAUUUGGCUCGUCAUGGCAAUCUUUAUCAGCUUCAUCAAAAUCACUACAGUCUUGAUCAUCAACACCAUCACAAUCAAAAACUUCAACCAAACCUUCUGCAUCGUCACAGCUGCAUGACUCGGCAUCUUCAUCAUCAUAAUCACAGGCCAUAAUCACAUCCUCGCACAGCUUCAAGAGUUCACAAUCUGCCUCAGAGUCUGCGCUGCCCUCGACCAGAAGAAAAGAGGAGACAUCCACCAUUGAUCCAUUCUUGUUCUUGUCCAUUACGGUUCUAUUAUUAGCCUUUGCUUAGGUGAAUAUCAUGCUAUCUUUAUUGCUUGUUGUUUAUUAAAUACUUUGUUAGCAAGUUCCCUGUUAAAUAGUGUUGAGACUACACCGACUAAUUUCACCUUUUGGGUUAAAAGGUGGUAGGUUCUUG